ACUCACUCAGCCCGAAGUUCCUCGAAAACAGCUCCAAAAUAUUUUCUGGGCCAUUAAUGCAGACGACCUGCUGUUGUGAACCGGACUCCAGCUGCGACAUCUGUUAGUAACAGUUCUGAGGACGGCUUCUCUUUCUUCUGGCAGCGAGACCUCAGGUCAGUGUAGUCAUUACAGCCAAACACUGAAGGAGUGUGUGCUUCUCUGAGUGGAGUCCUGCAGGCAACAGAUGCAGAAGUCACCCCGCGUCCUCGCUGAAAUGAGUGGUGAGAUAUGGGAUCACAGGAAUUCAAACUAAGCAAUGUUUAGCCAAAAGAACAAAAGGUUAGAAACAUCCGGAGCAGCCCGAGGCUCCCUGCCACAGACCGAGGUCGGGUCAUUGUUUUGGCUCAGGUAAAAGAUUUAAAAUUUUCAUGGAGUUGAUUUUACUGUCCUCGAAGAAGAGCUGACCAACAGUCCUGUGAAGUGGAUUCUGAAAUGGCUUUUGAAGGAUACGCUGUGACGCUUUAAAGCACCACUUUUUUGUGUACUUGAUGACUUUGUAGUGGGCACAGACACGGCACCUACAUCAUUUGCGGCGGGAAAGUGUUGCACUUUCAGAGCAGACCACUUAACUUCCCCAGGUGUGAAUAGACAUUUUCAGCAGGUACAGAUGAAAAAAUAUCUCCUGGUUUUUAGUAGAUCUCAGCACGUUCAUAGCAGAGAAACUUCUUUCUUAACGAACAAUUCCACUAGAUCUGUCUCCACUCCAUCAAAGCACUGGAUCUGAUAGGUUUCUAUUCUUAUCAAUGUGUUAACUUCCACUGGAUCCACUCUGUUGCGUUUUCUUUUUAUUUGUGCUUUUGUGUAUUUGUGUUUAUGUGUAUGUGUGUUGGUUAGUGCAUACUUUAUGAUGUACUAUAUCCCCUGCAUAAGUCAGCCCCCCGGCCGGACCACCGCUGUCAAAAACAGUCUGGAUCUCCUCCUGGCUGUUUCCUAUCAGUGUUUGUCAUUGAAAACCUUUAGCAGCAGCUGAGUUAGAUGAUCACAGAAGUCAUAAAGACAUAUCCUCUGGGUAUCAUGACUUUUCUGAACUGCGUCCAAAUCCAUCCCCAAGUCGAUGACAUUCUUCAGCCUGAUCCAUCAGUUUCAUCAGCCUCAGCUGAAGUCAGAGGCCGUCACCUCCACCACUACUCGCUGCUGUGAGGGAAUUAAACUGGCUGCAGCUCAAAACAGAUGCUCUUUCAUUAAAAAGUCCUCCUGAAAAGUUGAAGCUCCAAAGACCUCCUGGCGGGACUUAAUUACCACAUCAUCUGUUCCAACAAAUAACUCCAUUAGCUUCAUUUAAUUGUUUCCCCUGAUUGAAAUUUAGAAUUAAACGAUUGUUUGUAUGUGCAUGUUUAUCAAACUGGGAUCUCAGCUGUGCUGGUGACGUGGGGAGCUGUGGGCACAUCUGUGUGCAGCUUGAUCAGAUUAAACGAUUGUAUGAAGAAAGACACACUUUGAAA